rnacentral:rRNA from 1 species
UACGUAGGUCGCAAGCGUUAUCCGGAAUUAUUGGGCGUAAAGAGUGAGCAGGCGGCAUGGUAAGUCUGGAGUGAAAGCGUGGGGCUUAACCCCAUACAGCUUUGGAUACUACCAAGCUAGAGUACGUCAGAGGUUAACAGAACUCCAUGUGUAGCGGUGAAAUGCGUAGAUAUAUGGAAGAAUACCAGUGGCGAAGGCGGUUAACCAGGACGAUACUGACGCUCAGUCACGAAAGCGUGGGGAGC